UUGCGUGUUCAUCCAACUAGCCAUUCACACAUAUAUGCACUCCAUCAAGAUCUGGAUGACAAUAAAUAGGUAGGGACGGCCAAGUGCUAGCUCUAUGUGCCCUAUGAAAUGACUACUGUAUACACAUUGCCUCCGCCUCUACGGCGUACAUAUAGAGCUAGUACGAGUGUUUGCUGGUACCGGUUCCAAUUAUCAGCGCCCAAGUACGACUGUAUGAGAAAGAGACGUGUUGUCAAGUGUAAACGAGGAAGCAUCGGACGGCACAUGUUCUCGAGAAACUGAGCUAUCACCAGUGUAGACGUGGUACACAUGUUUCUGGGGUCAGCCAACAUGGAAAUGUUUGAGCGACAUGGUACAACCGGUUGACUCGCUGGGAUUGUUGGGACAGCACAGCCACUUCACUUUUUUGGUACACAUAACUCACAUGUUAGGAGCAUCUACAACCACGAUGAGCAAAAAAUACGUCUUAAAUAUCCACGGACGCAUUUAGGGACGUCCACAUAGAAUAUGACCGGAUACGUCUUAAAUAAACAGAACUGCAUUGAAC
rnacentral:lncRNA from 1 species